CUCCACCUGUCGCCCCGGAUCAGCCUGCCCCACCGGCUGCAGUUCAUCCCGAUUUGCGGGUGCCAGCUCAUGCACCAUUCGCAAGAUACACCGUCGAGGAUUUGCUUGCCCAGCCCGGACGAGAGGGUUUACACGUUCUGGACCCCGAUAGACCCCCGGGUACUUAUUGGUUUGGGGCUAACAACCGUGUUAGCCGGAGCGUUUCAGAGACGAUGAAGGGAUAUUAUGACGGCCCUUAUCCCAACUGGACCAUGACUCCCGAUCACGUCAAGACGACGUGGUUUAAAUGUUUUGCGGUAAUUAUAUUUACAUAUUAUUAAUAUUUAUAUUGUUAAUUAAAUAAUUAUUAUUUUUUUUUCUAAUCUUUUAAAAUGUUUGUUUUUUCAGCAAAGGUGGAACUGGUCCGUAGGAAUCACCGAGAGGGUGAAGAGCGAAUUUAUUGCAAAGGCGAAAACUCGUCUUUGCAACACCGUCUCCGAUUGGAAGGACAAGUGGGAGAUUUACGGCUAUGAGGGGAAGCCGAGCGGGGUCACAAAGGAAGCAUGGGAUGGCCUCAUCACCUAUUGGAACGAACCCAGCUCCAUCCGCAAAGCCAACUCCUGCUCCGCUUCCCGAAGAACGAGGGAUAAAGAUGGCCAUUUGCCCAUGGUUCAUAGAUCCGGCCAAAAACCCCAUGCCGGAAUUCGUCUCGAAGCUGUAAGUUUUAUUUAAAUUUAUAAUUUUCAUUAUUUUAAACUUGUAUUUAUUAAUUAUAUUUAAUUUAUUUAUUAUUGUUGUUUAUUAGUUGGAGAAGACGGGAGUUUUGCCAUCUCUCUCGGACUUAUUCAAGAUGACUCACGCCUCACCAGAUGGGGUUUUUGUGGAUCCUGCAUCCGAGAAACUCUUCAACGCUGUGGCGUCUCGGGUUGAAGAGCAAGAGACGAAACUUACCCAACAGUCUGCAGAUGGAUUACCCGUCAAGUUGUCAACCGUAGAGGUCGACCGGAUCUUCGAGGAGGUAAAAUUUAAUAAUUUUAAUUUUUUUUCUUUAUUUUAUUAUUAACUCUAAAUACGGUUUUAUAUAUAUACAUAUAGGUGGCUCCUAGAAAGAAGGGUAGGACGGUUGGAAUAGGUUCCGUUAACGAAGUUGCAAGGGCGACUUCGUCAUACUAUUCGAGACGGGACCAGGACAACGAUCAGAUGCAGGCUCGCAUGGAUACCCAGCAGCAGCGUUUGGACUCUCUCGAGGGUUUGCUGGAUGUGAUGGCAGUGGGAAAUCCAACUUUGCAGAGAGCUUUGGCGGAGAGACGAGCAGCUCUCGGGAUGAGCCAGCCGGAUCCCGAAGCAGGAACGUCUACAGACCCGAACCCCUCAGCCAACUACUUCGAUGACCAUGAUGUUGGCCUUUAGUUUCCUUUUUUAAUUUCUUUUGUUUUGUAUAAAAAAUUUAAAUUCUAUUUAAUUAAUGAAUUUAUAAUUUUUUUAAAAAUAUUAUUUGGUUUCAUAUUUAAUUUUAUUUCAAAUAUUUUAAAUUUUAAAAUUAUUGUUUUAUAAAAUUUAUAUAAUUAUUAUAAUUAAUUAAUAUUUUAAAUAUGGAGAUGUAAAUUCGUUGUAAAAUUCCACGUUAAGUCCUCGUAACGUUUACGAGGAAUUUACAUGAAGUCGUUGUAAAGUCCUCGUAAAAUUUACAUCGACUUUACGUGGAAGCCUUACGUGGCUUUUACAACGAACUAUUACGAGGUAUUUACAUCGUCAUUUACGAGGGCAUUACGACGAAUAGUUUCCUUCCGCUUUACGAGGAAUUGACUUCCUCGUAAACGUAACUAGGACUUUACGACGAAACCUCCGUUACGACGAGCGUUUAA